rnacentral:tRNA from 1 species
GGUCGAGUGGCGCAAUGGUAGCGUGUGGUCCUCCUAUACUAGGGAGAAUCAGACUGAGGUUGUGGGUUCGAGUCCCAUCUCGAUCG